rnacentral:rRNA from 1 species
GGGAAACUCACCAGGUCCAGACAUAAUAAGGAUUGACAGAUUGAUAGCUCUUUCUUGAUUUUAUGGGUGGUGGUGCAUGGCCGUUCUUAGUUCGUGGAGUGAUUUGUCUGCUUAAUUGCGUUAACGAACGAGACCUUAACCUGCUAAAUAGAAGCUCCUAUCUUCGGAUAAGUGCAUUUCUUCUUAGAGGGACUUUACGCGUUGCAGCGUGAGGAAGUUUGAGGCUAAAA